rnacentral:rRNA from 1 species
AGUGAACGCUAGCGGUGCGCCUAACACAUGCAAGUCGAAUGCUCACCAUUUUGUACUUUUGUCUGCGAACACAGUCCUCUCAAAGAACUGUUUCCACCAUGAGAGUUUAAAAUGGUGAGCAUGGCGAACGGCUGCGUAACACGUUGGUACCUGCCCCCGAACUCAGGGAUAACCCGCCGAAAGGCGGAGUAAUACCGGAUCGCCCCCCGCACCAUUUUGUACUUUGGUCUGCGGANACAGCUCCCUCAAGGAACUGUUUCCACCAGGAGAGUCUAAAAUGGUGUGGGGGAAAGAUUUAUCGGUUCGGGAGGGGCCUGCGGCCUAUCAGCUAGUUGGUAAGGUAACGGCUUACCAAGGCGAUGACGGGUAGCUGGUUUGAGAGAACGACCAGCCAGAAUGGGACUGAGACACGGCCCAUACUCCGUACGGGAGGCAGCAGUGA